AUAGUCCUAGUAUAUAAGUACAUUUGACUUCCAAUCAAAAAGUUUGAAAAGAUCAAGAACUAUA
rnacentral:tRNA from 1 species